AGUUGCAACAUACCUAAAUAUUUUUCCCUGCAGAAUUGACAAGAAGAAUUAAAAGAGCAAGAGACUUUUCUGGAUCAUCCCCACAGGACUGGAAUUCAGAUCCUUGAAAGCUUUUCAUCUCAUAACCGUGGACCCCCCUCUCAUUCCCUUACCUUGGUCUUCCCCACAGCUGAGUACCUUCCAGUUUCCACUUCAUCACAAAGUCAUUGGCUAAUGUUUUCUUUGCCUCAUUCUCUGUAUGAACCUUUGCUUUUUGUCUGUCACCUUUUCCACUCACCUUUCUGACUCUCUCUGCCUCAGUGAGGAGGACAUCUGAUGGAAAGCAGAGUUCUUUACCAGAGGGAGAGGGAAUAUCAGAAAGGCAAACAGAUGUUUGGGAGAGUUAGUUUCUGUUCUCAAAUGUCAUCCUCCCCAAAUGGCUUUUAUUUUCCUUCUUUGACACCUCCUAUGUGUCUUACCACAAAAAGCUCUGGAGAAACAUCAGAGUCUCUUGGGUGAUGUUUGAUCAUUGGUUUUGAGGGAGUUCAUUAAUCUUUCACUUCCACUGGGUCCUUUAUUCUUUCCUUUACUGUUCUACAUUGACUAGCCACAUGGCCUUUCUGGUGGGAUUGGAGGUAUACUCUAAUAAUCCUAUUAUAACCAAGACUAUUCUCUUUGUCCAUCAUCCCCUCCAGGCCCAACAGGAUACUUUAUUGAAGCUUCUUUGAGCUGAGCACCAUAACCAAGGGCACACAGCCCACCUGUUCCUUUAUUAAUUUUCCUCUGAACGAGCAAGGGCAGCAAAAAGUUGAGUCCCUGGUCCACUUAUUCUUAUUCAUUCUGGAGAUUGUUCCUUUGACCUGGACUUUGGCCUUUUGCCCUUGUCCACACCAAGUGUUACAAAGGAUGAUCUGACUGGACUCAUUGUUGAGUGUAUUGUGGGGAUUUUGCUUGCUCUAUUAAUUGGUGUGUCAUUUUUCUGGGGGAUUGUGGGAGGCUGUCUCACUGAAUGAUUCACAUUCUCCUUCUCGUGAGUGGAGAGGCUCUGACAGUCACUCUUGUAGUGACCUGGACAUUGCCCCAGUCCUGGAGGUUGGGGAUGAGUCUUCAGGCAUAGACAUGUGUCCUGCAGCCUCUUGGGCUGAAUUACACUCACCUGUCCUUGUAACUCUGUCCCUCUUGACCUUUUUUUGGAUGGAACUUUCUAAGAACGAGGGUCUUCCCAACAAAAGCUCACUUCCGAAUAUGCUUGCUGUGUCUUGCCAACCUCUCGUGACUUUUCUUGCUCUCCCAUUUGGGGAGUUUGAGGCUGAGAGUGAAGGAGCAGUCCUGAAGCUUGAUUUAAAGGUAAAGUGUGUGUCUGUGUUUUAUUUGGUGUCCCAGAAUAUUCACACAAGCUACGUUAAGUUCAGGUGCCCUUGCAGGUUGGGGGUACCAGGGGACAACAGGGUGGGAUCUCUCUGGUCUUAGUACAGUGGAGUAGUACCGUACUACUAUAGUUUGAGUCUUAAAUAUUCCCACACUUAAAGGUUUGGCUCCCAGCAUGGUGCCAGUGGGAGGUGGUGGAGCCUUUAUGAGGUGGGGCCUAGCAGGAGGUCUUUAGGUCAUUGUGGGUGUCCCCUUGAUGAAGAUUUUAGGACACAUUUCUCUUUGUCUCCUUCAUUAUUUUUCCCACAAGAUGAGAAGUUUUUCUCCUGCAUGUGCUCCCACCAUGAUGAGCUGAGUCACCCCAAAGCAUCAUCAGUUAUAGUCACUGAAAAAAAUAUUUAUUAUGUAGCCAUUAUAUGACAGGCUCAGUAAUACCAGGCUUUGGGAACACAUGCACUCCACCAGGAAUUUUAUAUUCUAGAGGAAACUUGAACAUCAAUCAAAUAAUGAAGACUAACUGUAAACUGAAAAAGCUUAUGGAUGUUUGAUGUGUGUUUUAAGGAUUUUCCAGGAUUAUUUUGACCAUACAUAAGUUUUACCUACCUAGGAACUUUGGAUAAGUAAAUAGUUUUUUUCUAUUCUCCUGUCCCAUAAACUAUUUCCUUGUAUUUUUUUUUUAAGUAGGGAUUGAAUCCAGGGGUACUUAAGCACUGAGGCACGUUCCAAGCCCUUUUUAUUUUUUAUUUUGAGAAAGAGUCUUGCUCAGUUGGUUACAUCCUUGCUAAAUUGCUGAGUCUGGCCUCCAACUUGUGACUCUCAUGUCUCAGCCUUCUGAGCUGGUGGGUUACAGGUGUGUGCCACAGUGCUCAGCUUUUUCUUCUUUUUAACAUUGAAGGUGAAUGAAUGCACUGAUCUCCAGUUUCCAGAAGUGCUAAUGAACUCUUUUUCUCCUCUUCUGUCCCUCAAAUCCCAAGAACACCCCUAGUGCUGAUGCCCCCAAUAUUUUUACAUUUAGUCUUUUCCUUGAGGUAGAACUGUUCCUGUAAUGUUUUUCCAUGUUACCCUAUGACCUUGGAUAGUUUCCGCAUAUUGUAGGGGCUCCAUCUCUCAGUUCCAAAACGAGGACAGUGAGAACAACCUCAUGGUAUUGUACUAAAUCAUCAUGGGAAUGAAGGAUAAAAUGUUCAAGGUAAAAUGACCCUCAGUGAAUGGUGUGCCUAAGCAUUUCUUUGUGGUUAUUAGAGAGCAGAGGCCCUUGCUCUUCAUCAGGGGAAGAGUCUCUGUGACAGGAGAGGAACAGGAUUUGCAGCAUCCUAGGGACUAUUAGAAUGUGUGCCUCUUGGGAUUAAACCCCUAUUUCUCACCAUGCACAAAAGUAAAAGUGGAUCAAGGCUCAAUUCUCCCUCAUGUUGGAUUAGGUCCCAACUUCCUUAAUAAGAUUCCUAUAGCACAAGAAUUAAAAUCAAGAAUCAAUAAAUGGGAUGGACUCAAAGUAAAAACUUCUUCUUAGCAAAUAAACAAUCAUUGAGUUGAAUAGAGAGUCUACAAUUUGUGAAGAAAUUUUUACCACACAUAGGUCAGAUAGAGCCCUAAUCUCUAGGAUAUAUAAAGAACUCAAAAAUCUUAACACCAAAAAACCCCCCAAAAAACCAAAAAACAAAUAAACCAAUCAAUAAAUAGGUUAAGGAACAGAACAGACACUUCUCAGAAGAAGAAAAGCAAUGAAUCAACAAAUAUAUAAAAAAUGUUCAACAUCUCUAGCAAUUAGAGAAAUGCAAAUUAAAACUACUUCAAGAUUUUAUCUCACUUCAGUCAGAAUGACAGUUAUUAAGAAUGCAAACAAAUAUAAAUGUUGGCGAGGAUGUGGGGGAAAAGGUACACUCAUACAUUGCUGGUGGAACUGCAAAUUGGUGCAGCCAAUAUGGAAAGCAGUAAGGCGAUUUCUUGGAAAACUGGACAUGGAACCACCAUUUGACUCAGCUAUCCCUCUCCUCGGUCUAUACCCAAUGGACUUAAAAACAGCAUACUACAGGAACACAGCCACAUCAAUGUUUAUAGCAGCACAAUUCACAAUAGUUGAACUGUGGAGUCAACCUAGAUAUCUUUCAGGGUAUGAAUGGAUAAAAAAUGUGGCAUAUAUACACAAUGGAAUUUUACUCAGCAUUAAAAAAGACACAGAGACUAAUCCACAAAGCUACAACUAUCUUAUAUUUGAUAAAGGAGCUAAAAGCAUGCAAUGGAGGGAGGAUAGCAUCUUCAACAAAUGGUGCUGGGAAAACUGGAAAUCCAUAUGCAACAAAAUGAAACUGAAUCCCCUCCUCUCGCCAUGCACAAAAGUUAACUCAAAGUGGAUCAAGGAGCUAGAUAUCAAAUCAGAGACUCUGUGUCUGAUAGAAGAAAAAGUUGGCUCCGAUCUACAUAUUGUAGGGUCGGGCUCCAAAUUCCUUAAUAGGACACCCAUAGCACAAAAGUUGAUAACAAAAAUCAACAAAUGGGACUUACUUAAACUGAAAAGUUUUCUCUCAGCAAGAGAAACAAUAAAAGAG
rnacentral:lncRNA from 1 species